AGGAGGAGCUCCCUUUUUCGCUGUCUCGGCGUGGGUGCGGUGUGUGCUCUCGGUGGUGAGCCGGUCGCUCGUGUGGUGUGCGUGUCCUCGCUCCUCUCUCCUGGCCGUAACCGAGGUCGGAGCGAGCGUCCCCCCUUUUCGGUCCCGGAGGUUAGCUUCGAAGGGCUAGGUCUAGGCUGGGCCGCCCGGGCAGGGGCCGGCGGGUCGGCCUAGGGCCGCCGCGCCCGGCGACGGCCUCCACCGUAGCCAAACCGAUCACGAGGCCACUCGGGAAAACGCCCUGCCCUUCCCUAAGCGAUGCCGGACGCCCCACCAGACUCUACCUCCUGGACGACCUGCGGCUCUAGCCGUUCUUGCUGAUGCUGACCGAAGAAUGAGGCGGACCCUGCGGGGCACAAGGACGAGACCUCCAACGAGUCUUUUAUGGUAGGAGUUUAUAUAAUGGAUUCGCGUGGGAGUGAUCUAGAAGGAGUUGAUGUUCUCGUAGUUCCGAAAGCCACAGAGUUUGUCUCUUACCUGUAAGACGUCAAGGGCGAUCUGGUCGUUCUUCAUUGAGACAUUGGGCGGGAAGAUAGGUUAGUUGAGAGUACAGUUCGUUAUUGUCCUGUCGCCAAGAGUUGCGCUCAUAAAGUAGACAGUCAAGUUCUGGAUGUUGGGGUUCAUCCGCUUCGUCGUGGUAACGACGCGGUUUUGUUAACCACGGUCGAAGUGCAGGUCAAGGUCGUUCCAGUAGAUGAGGACAAUUUGGAGCAGGUAGAUGUGGUAGGUUUUGAGCGGGCAGAUGAGGACACUUUUGAGUAGUUCGUUGUAGGUUGAGACGUUGACUGCAUCGACGACGGUCCUGGUGUCGGUGGGUUUCAAGCUCCGGUAGCUGAGGUUUAAGAGCCAGAGCUUAAUACAACUUAAGUAGAAGUCCCAGAUAAGGACGUUACUCGGCGGGUUCGGGUAGGCAUCCAUAGUAAGGACGUUGCUCGGCGGGUCCGCGAAGGAGUUCAUUACCAGUACCCUGUUCAGUAGGGUGGAGUAACAGAAGACCAUGUCAAGGAAGUCACUCAGCGAGGUCGAGUGCUAGUAGAUGUGGAUGUGCAGUCGGACGUCACGCAAGUAGCUGGGGUCGAUACCCGGCAAGCGGAAGAAAACCUGCGUGAAGAUCAUCGUUAUCGAACUGCUGUAGAUACUUGGCUGGACGUCGAUCAUCACCGGCUUCAAGUCGUGGCAGUAGUCGAGGUAGUAGGGCAGGUUCAAGGGGUCCAGGUGCUGGGGCUCGAGGUCACGCGAGUGUACUGUAAGGAAGUAGCCGAGGUCGUAGAGCAGGUUCAAGGGGUCCAGGUGCUGGUGCUCGAGGUCACGCCGGUGUACUAUGGGGAAGUAGUCGAGGAAGUAGAGCAGGUUCGAGGGGUUCAGGUGCCGGGGCUCGAGGCCACGCCGGUGAACUAUAGGGACUAAAGGGUUUACUUUGCGGUGGUUUGGAUUCCUGUUUCGAUGGACUCGCUGGUGAUAGACGACCAUCUAGUGCGGGCCCUUACCGAAGUCCUUAUUCUAGUUUGGGUGUACGACUUGUCAAUCGACGGAGCCGAGGUCGUUUUUUCGAGAGGCACGGACGACGUUCAGCAUUAUUCAAAAGACUAGGUGGUAGUUUCCGCGGAAGAGCGAGUUUACCUGUGGUUUUAUCCGUCAGACUUUCCAGGCAACAACUGUCAGUUCGAUGAUCCUGACGUGCCUGACCACGUCAACGUCCUCUAUUACCUAAACCCUCCUGUUAAAGUUUCUUAAGUGAACUGUACCGUUAGUUCGUGUACCUGUAAGCCGUCUUGAACCCACCGUAGGCACCCCGUAGGGACAAAGGCGUGUCGUAGGCGAGUUCGUGGCCGUUCCAGGCAGGCCAGGCUUACAGACUGGGGCCCGUAGAGUGGAGCUUGUCACUGGUGGCCGUGAUGCGCCUGUUGCCGUCGCGGUUGCCCGUGAAGAAGAGGUCGCUGAGGAUACCUCGGGACAGAGCGUUGCCCCCGUCGAGUUGGCUGAGCGGCCUGGCCCCCUCGAAGCUCUGGUUCCUCUGCAGGGACUCGCUCGACCUGUAGAUGCCGUCGAGCGCCAUGCUCCGCUACGACGACUCCCCCCUCCUGCACUCCUUGUGCUCGACCGACGUGCCGCCCAAGCUGCUGCUGUUCGGACUGGUCUCGGGGGACAAGCUGGUGGCCAAGCUCGGCGAGGGCCUCGGGAAGUCGGGGAAGACUGCGGCUGCCGGCGGAGGGGGACAGACAUACAUUUCAGACAGGGGGGCCAGUAGCGGACAAAGGGUGCGGGGAAGCAAGACACAAACGUGUGCUACACAUCGGACGUACGGGAAACUAGACAAAGACAAAGUAUCAACCAAGACGCCGGAGACGUGCGUGCGGGAAAGAAGAAGAAGACGGCUUUACCUGCUCCGACUCUCUUUGAGGCCCAAACACAUUGAAUUAAACAACAACGGAUCUCCGGCCUCCCAACAAAAAAGAAGUGUCUUCUAACAACAACAUGACUUUUUAGCUUUUUCAUGUCUAUCUAUGAACUACUUGUCAUUUCUCGUAAACACUCAACAAC
rnacentral:rRNA from 1 species